rnacentral:tRNA from 1 species
UUUUUGAUAGCUUAUAUAAAGCAUAGUUUUGAAGAGACUAAGAAGAAAAAAUUUUCUCAAAAAA